rnacentral:rRNA from 1 species
GUAGGGAAUAUUGGACAAUGGGGGCAACCCUGAUCCAGCGACGCCGCGUGAGUGAUGAAGGCCUUCGGGUCGUAAAGCUCUGUUGCAGGGGAAGAACACAAUGACGGUACCCUGCUAGAAAGGAUCGGCUAACUUCGUGCCAGCAGCCGCGGUAAGACGAGGGAUCCUAGCGUUGUUCGGAAUUAUUGGGCGUAAAGCGGGUGCAGGUGGCUUGGUAAGUCAGAUGUGAAAGCCUGGGGCUUAACCCCAGAAGUGCAUUUGAUACUGAUGAGCUUGAGUGAUGGAGAGGCUAUUAGAAUUCCUGGUGUAGUGGUGAAAUACGUAGAUAUCAGGAGGAAUACCGGAGGCGAAGGCGGAUAGCUGGCCAGACACUGACACUCAGACCCGAAAGCGUGGGGAUCAAACAGGAUUAGAAACCCUGGUAGUCC